AUGCCUACAAGCCUAGUUGGUGUAUUUAAAUUCUUCAAAUAUAUUAGGUGUGGGGGUGUUACCGCCGGCUGUCCACUUGGGCAAAACCCUACCAGAGGCCAGAGGCUGUUGAACGCUGCUGCACAGCUCAUCCACCUCCUCACAUCCGUCCAAGUCAACAUCUAUGUAGCGGACGUCUUGGAUCACGCUUGCAGCAUCAGGUACAUGGAGCAGGAGUAUAGCAUGAACCACCGUCCCAGGGUGCAUUCAUAUCAUAAAACUGAGAUUGGGAUCUAUUAUUGUCCACAAAAGUGCUUGGGGUCAUAG
rnacentral:rRNA from 1 species